rnacentral:tRNA from 1 species
UACCGGGUAGCCAAGUGGUAAGGCAUCGCACUUUGACUGCGUGUAUCGUUAGUUCUAAUCUAACUCCGGUAGCCA